AGGAGAAAAGGACGGGCUUCGGUUUAUGUGCUUUCCAGUUGAUGAAUAGUACAUAAUGUAACAGUUCAGUUAGAAAAAGUCCUUGUGGACAUUCUAGAAAAAAUCUAAAAGUGUGCAGACUGUAAGUGUCGAUGUUUACAUGUUGCAACCAAGUGAAGUGAAGUGAAUGCAAAACAAGCAGCAUGCUUUAUACGAUAAUCAUUUAAUUUCGUGCUCCACAAAUGACAUUACAGCCAUCUGUGUACCCGGCAUAUAACCCUGCUUGCACUCCGCCUGCACCACCCAGCCCUGUUCAGCACCAUCCUGCCUUUAAGCACACCACCCAUGCCUCCCUGGGAGUCAAGACAAGUGACCCAAUACUUUUGUCAAUAUAGUACCCAUUACAAAGGGGUUUGUUCAAAAUAGCAGUGCUGCGUUCAAUUAGUGAUGUGAUUGAUUAUGUGAAGAAAUAUGUGUCAAUUAUGGCCUAUAUAGGAAGGAACGCAAUAAAUAUUGUGCAUGCUGGUUAUUAUACAUUUCACACUCAUUCAAAUGGAUCGAAGAAUAGCCAAAAUGGCAAAGGCUCAACCAAUGAAAGAACCA